CACAAGGUAGUUAUACACACACACACAGGGCAGUGAAGGGAUGGGAGUGUAUUGUUAACACCACCACACGACACCACCAAGCCACCACACCACCUCACACCACGGUAUCCUUGGCGUCCCGCCCCGCCCCGCCGAGGCCCGCCAAGCCCUACUAAGACUCAGACGUGAAGGAAAGCCAGAAUUAACCAUGAAAAUAGAUAAAUAACCACCAAAAUGCUUCAAAUAAGGCUUAAAUGUGUUGAAGGUUGCAAGCCCCGUUCAGAGCGCCCACCAUCAUCACCUAGAAGCCCGGACCCAGACCGAGACCUUCCCUCCUUCCUUCCCGUGUCUCUUCGUCAACAUCUCCCUCAAUUUCCAGGAUUUUUUCAGGCAUUUCCAGAGGCAACAGGCCGCCACAGCUCGGAAGUGCAAGUGAUCUAUCAACGAGAGCAGCGACGAGGGGCGCAGGAUUUAUCACCAGAAAUAAAAUAGAAUCCCACAACGCAGGAACGAGCGAGGCCACCGGAUGAAGGUGGAGAGAAGGCAACAGACAAUACUCUCACGACCUAAGGAGUCCCAGAGCUCUCUUUCCGUCGACACUGAAAAUCCUGGGAACUACUGAAAAAGAAAUCGCUCUACGUGACACGAAUUUAGCCAAUUUCAGAACUCACCCGGCACAACAAUGGGGGUUUUCUCCCUCCGGCCUAGCUGAAAGAUGGCGACUGUGUGGGGUCUUCGGUGCCUUGCUAGAAAUGCUCAGGCAGAGAAGCGGAAGGAAAUUAUCAACACUGUUCUGGCAAGUGGAUGUGGCCUUCAAACUUCCGAGUGGGCCGUUGGGGGUCAGUGGACGGGAAGCGAUGCCGCCGUAAGCCUCCACGUUACGAAGAUCACAGCCUAUCGCACAAAGAGAGGUGAAGGUCAUGAGUCCCACACAGCCUCUGAUGUCGGCGAAGAUUCAGGUGCUACAUGUUGUCUCAGGAGGUUCAUUAAGUUUACGGUGUUUACCUGCGGUGCUUCACAAAAGGCUGAGACAAGUACAGUGUAUAGAGACUCAUUCAUUUAGCUUUUUAGGUUUAUGUAUUUUAUGAGAACACACUUUUUAUCACAUGCUUUCAAACGAGACUCCAUUUGAAAAUACAUUAUAAAGAUAUUCAUGAUAUCAA